CGUAGGUGGCAAGCGUUGUCCGGAUUUACUGGGCGUAAAGGAUGCGUAGGUGGAUAUUUAAGUGGGAUGUGAAAUACCCGGGCUCAACUCGGGUGCUGCAUUCCAAACUGGAUAUCUAGAGUGCAGGAGAGGUAAGUGGAAUUCCUAGUGUAGCGGUGAAAUGCGUAGAGGUUAGGAAGAACACCAGUGGCGAAGGCGACUUACUGGACUGUAACUGACACUGAGGCAUGAAAGCGUGGGGAGCAAACAGGAUUAGAUACCCUGGUAGUCCACGCCGUAAACGAUGGGUACUAGGUGUGGGAGGUAUCGACCCCUUCCGUGCCGCCGUUAACACAAUAAGUACCCCGCCUGGGGAGUACGGUCGCAAGAUUA
rnacentral:rRNA from 1 species